AAAGAAAUUUUAAUAAAAUAAAGGCUAUUAAUGUUUCAUAAUCUAACACUAUUCGACUCUUAAUUAUCUAAUUAUUAUUAAUUUUUAGUUUUGCAGUAACAACUCGUAUCAAUCUAUAAUCGAACCAAUCUAUCUCAUCUUAUUAAGUCUAAGUAAUUAAAUCUAAUGCACGUUCUUUUUCGUUUCAAAGUAUAAUUUUUAAGCAUCAUAUAUAUAUGUAUCUAAUUUAUUGAAAAAUAAAUAAUCAAAGAGAAUCACAUUAGUGUUCAAUCAAAUAAUCUCUUAACUAUCAAGAAUACAUGAUAUUAAAAAUGAAAAGAUAAUUCUCCAAUCAAUCAUGUGAAGCAACAACCAUAAUCAUUAAAGAACAUAUAUAGCGAAUGAAUUAUAUAAAAAAAAACAAUUAUUUUCUUCCUCUGAGCCAACACCUCCACCAGUUUCCCCAACCAACAAUGGAUGAACCUGGCCCCUCCGUACCAGGACCCUCAACCCAAUCUUCCAAACGACCAGCUCAACCAUCCAAAGUUGACAAAGCCACCCAAACUUCCCCUAAGUAUACUCCGAAGUGUACUCCCAGAGACUAUAAUUGCCCUUAUCCACCAUGCCGUGGUCCCUCCUGUAAGCAUCCAAAGCUCUCCAAAACUUUCUUCCAAAAGCAUCCUCACUCUGGUGAUACGGACCCAGAUGAAACCGAAAGCUCAUCCGAAGACGAGUACAUGAAUCUCCGCUCUCCAUAAAGUUGUUUGUCUUGUUGCUUUCAAUAAAGUAGUUUGUCUUGUUGUCAUAAUGAUGUUUCGCUUUAUGUUUGCAUAAUUAUUAAAGUUUGUUUUUACUUUAAUACUUUUGUCCAAGUCAUGCUUUAAUUAUUAAAGCACUUUUGUCUUUUAUAAUAAUUAAAGUUGUGCAAUUAUGUAAAAGAUAGGGGUCCUGUCCUAUCUUCUCAAGAAUCCUCCUCUAUAUAAAGGAUUCUCCCCUUGCUUGUAAGAUAUAGAAGUUUGAAAGAAAAAAACUCGUGUUUUCUCUUACAACAUGAAUCCCUAAAACUCUUCUCUCUCUCUGCAAAUGAAGCUCUAAGAAAGAAAAAGAAUAAAGAAUUAAAUUUGUUCAUUUUGAAAACCUAAGGAAGUAUGCUCUGCACUUGCCUUUUCUAAGGAUCCUGUGCAUCAGAAAACUUUUGAUCAUUUCUUAUCUGGUUUGGUACCCUGUUUUAGACUAAAGGAAAGUCUGUUUUGGGUUGUAUAACCCGAGAAAAAUGUUUUAAAAGUUUUGCGAAAGUAUAUCGGCUGGAAACCCGAGCUUGCGGACUACUGGUCCUAAGAACAGUCUUAACUGUUGUAGUUCUGGUAUAACAACGCCACGUACUUUACCCUAACUGCUCAUCUUGUUCGGAGAAAUAGAAUUCCAAUUCAUCUUUGGCAGGAGAGUAGUCUGUGGUUGCUUGAAGAUGUUCAACCAACCGGAUGGCCUUUUCUUUUUUGUUGGGACAAUCUUUGGCAUAGUGGCCUUUUCUCUUGCAGAUGAAACAUCUGCUUGAUUGCUUUCGUUUGAAUUCUCUGGAGGAGGAAGAUUUUUUUCUGAAGAACCGGUAGGGCUUUCGGGAUCUGCGAGGUUUGGAUGAAGAGGGGGAGGUCGAGGCUGCGGUCUAGGUUUGGGUUUAGGUUUAGGUUUAGGUUUAGGUGGCGGUGGCAAAGGAUUGUCUCUGAAAAGAGUAUGAGUCAUGCCAAAUAACUUGGAAGGGUCAUAUUGUUUAAUAGGAGAGAGCAUAGAGGCAAAAGGAUGGUAAGUUGGACCGAUAGAAGGAAUAAGAGGUGAACUGGUGAAAAGGGUAGGUCUCUGUUUUUCAGAUUCAAUCUGAGCAAGUUCAGCUUUUAAUCGCCUGAUUUCCCUUUCCUUUUGGUCAAAUUCGGGACCAUUGUAUCUGUGGGCUAGCAUGGCUCGUAACUCUGAUAGUGACCAGUCUCAAGUGAUUUUCCACCAACAGUUACUCUCCCUUGAUACUACAGUUCCUAUCCCAUCCAUCAAACUCCAGAUCUUGCCCUCAAAAUUCCAAAGGCCCAUUCCAGCAAUUGGUCUUAUAGAUACUGGUGCCCAACGAAGCAUGUUGAACCCCCAUAUUCUUCCACCAGAAUAUUGGACCCAGUCUGAAGAACAUUUCAAAGCUGUCAAUGGCAAACUCUUCACCACCUCUUUGAUUACCAAAAAAUCCAUUGGUAUUCAAAUCUUCCCAAAUUGUGUCAUUUGGACCAAGGUUAUUGGUUCCACUCUUCCUAAUAAGGAUAUCUUAUUAGGAUUUGACAUCCUUCACCAAAUCAAACACCUCCAAAUCAUUCCCACUGGAAUCCGAGUCAAGUCCAUGUUCAAACCAUUCACAAACAUUCUGAAACUCUACAAUUUGUCUGAAACUCCCCAGUCUUACCAGGAUAUUUCAACCAAACUUUUGAGUUUCUGUCCAGAGUCCCAUUCUGAGUUCACCCAUCCAAAUCCAUUGUGGAAAAAUAAGUCUUUCUUCAUUAAGUUACCCUUCAAACUCAAUGAAGACAUUAACCCAACUAAAGCUACCCAUCCAGGAAUGAGUCCUUCUGACUUACUCCUAGCCCAACAAGAAUGUUCACAAUUGUUAGCCCAAGGUUUAAUCGAGCCCACAAGUUCCCAAUGGGCUUGCCAAGCCUUUUAUGUUGAAAAGCAUUCUGAAAUUGUCCGAGGAAAGAAACGCCUAGUCAUUGACUACCAGCCAUUAAACAUGUUUUUACAAGAUGACAAAUUCCCUUUACCUCGCCGACAAAGCAUGUUCACUUUUCUUAAAAAUGCCCAGAUCUUUUCAAAAUUUGAUUUAAAAUCUGGUUUUUGGCAACUCGGCAUUGAACCCUCCGAACGUUACAAAACCGCCUUUUGUAUUCCCAAUGCCCAUUUCCAAUGGACCGUCCUACCCUUUGGCCUCAAAACUGCCCCCUCCAUUUUCCAAAAAUCCAUGGUCCAAAUCUUCCAGCCCAUUUUGCAUCAUGCAUUGAUUUACAUUGACGAUAUUUUGCUUUUUUCAGGAUCGCAUGAAGAACAUCGCAACCUAUUGUCCCAAUUCUAUGAUAUUAUCCAAAGUCAUGGAAUCAUGUUAUCGGCCAAGAAAAGCACCAUUGCUACAGAUAAUAUUGAAUUCCUUGGUAUGAUCAUUAAAGAUGGACACUACCAGCCAGGAAAGCACAUUGCCCAAGAAUUGCUUCACUUUCCAGAUCAGCAACUUUCCAAAAGGCAAAUCCAACAGUUUCUCGGCAUUAUCAAUUACAUCCGUGAUUUCCUCCCACAUGUGGACCAUCACACUCAUCAUCUCUCGGCUUUAUUGAAAAAGAAGCCCCCAGAAUGGAAUGCUGACCACACACGUGCUGUCACUACUCUCAAGCAGAUUGCGCAAAAUCCGCCUCCUUUAAAGUUGAUUACUGAUGGCAAGCGCAUAUUACAGACAGACGCAAGUGAUGAAUCAUGGGGUGCCAUCCUCCUCGAAGAACUCAAUGACAAGGAACACUUUAUCGCUUACGCUAGUGGACAUUUUUCUGAAACACAGAAGCACUACCAUAGCGUGUUUAAAGAAAUCUUAGCGGUAAAGAAUGGCAUCAAAAAGUUUGAGUAUCAUCUGAUUGGACACCAUUUUCUCAUCCGAAUGGACAGCUCAGCCUUCCCCAAUAUCUUUCAUUUCAAAGGUAAAACUGUUCCCGAAAAAAUGUUACUCAGAUUAAAAGAUUGGUUUUCCAAAUAUGACUUUUCAGUCAAGCAUAUAAAGGGAUCCCAGAACCUCAUCCCUGAUAUGCUCUCCAGACUCUCUAAACCACAAGACCCUCUCACCCUGUUUUCCACCACCUACCAUUUUCCAAUUAUCUCCAUGGCUACCUCACUACCCCCAGAAGCUCUCACCAAGAAAACUUUUCCCUUCAACAAAACCUUCUCUUCUGUUUUUGAUAUCCAAGAAUUUGCAAGAAAAGCUCUCUUUCGCUUUUUCAUGAAAGCCUACCUUGUCACCGACCCUUUUCCUUUUUCCACUUUCCACCCAGAAAAUCUGUUCCUUACCGGUUUAACCCUUGAUCCGGCCAGGGACACCACUGAAGACGUGUUAUGGUACAUCUGGUGCCUAACAGUCCUUUACGCAACCAAGUUAGUCCUCCCCAUUUCUCCCACUCUGGACCACCUCCUUAAUCCAGAUAACGCCACCUCCCUUACCUGGACCCUACUUGAAUGGUUCUCCCCCAUCCCAUGGUGGAGAAAGAAACUGCAACAACUGUCCGAAAUUUACAACCUUGACCGUAUGCCUGCCCCUGAAGCACAAAUGUUCACAUCAGUUUUUAUUAUUCACAGGCCAUACUUCCAACAUCCAGACACCCAUCUCUUUUGGACUCAAGAUCAGGUAUAUGAAUGGUUCACUGCACCACAUAUAGCUGUGAUUGAAAAUGACAUACAAGACGUCCUGCACAAUUACCUUUGCCAAUUAAACCACCAACCUCCGCCACUUAAAGAUAUCUCUCACACCUCCUUAGGUCCACAACAUGACCUUCUCAUGAUACCCACUCCAUCUGCCAUAUCUAAACCUAAGUCCACUGGCAUCAUCAUCAAAGAAGAACGACCAGACUACACUGACUUCCUUUACCAAGACUCACAAGAUCCAUGGGAAGAUUUUCUUCCUCUGAGCCAACACCUCCACCAGUUUCCCCAACCAACAAUGGAUGAACCUGGCCCCUCCGUACCAGGACCCUCAACCCAAUCUUCCAAACGACCAGCUCAACCAUCCAAAGUUGACAAAGCCACCCAAACUUCCCCUAAGUAUACUCCGAAGUGUACUCCCAGAGACUAUAAUUGCCCUUAUCCACCAUGCCGUGGUCCCUCCUGUAAGCAUCCAAAGCUCUCCAAAACUUUCUUCCAAAAGCAUCCUCACUCUGGUGAUACGGACCCAGAUGAAACCGAAAGCUCAUCCGAAGACGAGUACAUGAAUCUCCGCUCUCCAUAAAGUUGUUUGUCUUGUUGCUUUCAAUAAAGUAGUUUGUCUUGUUGUCAUAAUGAUGUUUCGCUUUAUGUUUGCAUAAUUAUUAAAGUUUGUUUUUACUUUAAUACUUUUGUCCAAGUCAUGCUUUAAUUAUUAAAGCACUUUUGUCUUUUAUAAUAAUUAAAGUUGUGCAAUUAUGUAAAAGAUAGGGGUCCUGUCCUAUCUUCUCAAGAAUCCUCCUCUAUAUAAAGGAUUCUCCCCUUGCUUGUAAGAUAUAGAAGUUUGAAAGAAAUAAACUCGUGUUUUCUCUUACAACAUGAAUCCCUAAAACUCUUCUCUCUCUCUGCAAAUGAAGCUCUAAGAAAGAAAAAGAAUAAAGAAUUAAAUUUGUUCAUUUUGAAAACCUAAGGAAGUAUGCUCUGCACUUGCCUUUUCUAAGGAUCCUGUGCAUCAGAAAACUUUUGAUCAUUUCUUAUCUGGUUUGGUACCCUGUUUUAGACUAAAGGAAAGUCUGUUUUGGGUUGUAUAACCCGAGAAAAAUGUUUUAAAAGUUUUGCGAAAGUAUAUCGGCUGGAAACCCGAGCUUGCGGACUACUGGUCCUAAGAACAGUCUUAACUGUUGUAGUUCUGGUAUAACAACGCCACGUACUUUACCCUAACUGACAUUCUUGAAUUGAGAGUAAUAAAAUUGAUAUAACGAGCCAUGGAAACAAGCUUUGAAGAACUGCUGCUGCAGUGCUCCUCUUCCUCCCUGCCUCACAUAAUCCCCACGACCAUCCAUUAUGGGCGGAAUCCAAUCCUUAUAAUGCCCAUGACCAUCCGCUAUUUGCCGAAUCCAACCAAUUUUGAAAACAAUCUUUCUAAUUGACGCCACAAUCCUCGGCCCGUGUUUUCUGAUCGCAGAAUUGAAAUUCCUUCCAAAUGCAAAUUAAUCUUUACACUUAGCUCAGCCACGGCUUCUAUUAAUUCUUUAAACGCUUCACCAAAUUAUUAUUUUUCAUGUGCUUUUCAUCCAUUAUAUCUAAUUAAUUUCUCGUUCAAUACAAUAAUUUAAUUAAUUCAA
rnacentral:lncRNA from 1 species